UUGUCUUUUACAUUAUAAUAUUAAUAAUUAAACCUGAAAUUGUAGUUUCAUGUUUUCCUUUAGACAAGCAGGACAUUAUUCCUGAGGCAAUAAUUUCAAGCUCUUCUAGAAGUACUGAGCAAACAUUUCGUGGAAUUUAUGUGCAGAAGUGUGUAAGGAGACGUGCUCGUGGGAGAAAAAAACAUUAGGAAAGGUGUCGUAUAAAGGAAUAUCCAGCAAAGAGCUGAUGUAAUUGCCAUGCUUGUUCAUUUAAUCACUGCUAGCCACCUUGAGCACCAUUGUUCCAGAGAAAAGCAGGACCUAAAUGCAAUCAAUCCAUUCGUCCGAGGGUCUUCAUUAACAUACAGAUCUGAGCAAUCUUUGUUCUGGUGAAACUGGACUGGAGGGAUCCAGUUCACGAAAAGAUCCCAAUUUUUCCUGAGAUCUAUAUUCAUGAUGGGCAAUUUGGAGUUGAAGGAGAUGCAUCUGGAAGCCAAUUUUAGAUUUUUAGUUGGGCCUUUUCUUUAGCAUUGCUGGAGAAAUGAAGAGGGCUUCAUGCAAAAAAUAAGGGGAUUAUGGACAAAGCAGUGAAAGCACCUAGUUUUGUCACCUUUCUGUUUAACCUCAGUGUAAUGAAGAAUUAGCAAAUAAAUAAAAUUUAAUCUUGUUUCA
rnacentral:lncRNA from 1 species